UUUACAGACAGUAUGAUGCGUUUGUAAAUCGGGAGCAUUUGUCAAGAUCUCAAAGAUCAAUAUGUGAGGGGGGGGGAAAUAAAAAAGGUGAAGAGGAAGGUACGGCUUUGGAAGUAAAGUAAAAGCAUUUAUUUCUACACAAAAUGUGGGAGGACAUAAAAAGCCCCAAGGGUUCUUAGUUUUCGUCCCUCCGCCCAAUUUCAUACCCUCCAACCUAUUACCCCCAGUUACUUUCCCUAAUGCCCCGGGGAGUCUGUUAAAAACCAAAGUCUGCGGCAGGCUUUCCUCGCAAGCAGGACUUCGGUUUCACUAUUUCCGUAUUUAUAUAUUUUGCAUUAAACUCUAGCUAGACAACUAUGAGAAAACAACACGAAACGUGUCAAUAUUAAGUAAUGUUGUAGUUUGUCAAGUGAGUGUAUCUUUUCGAAAAGAUAAAACCACUGCUUUGGGCUCACAACCACAAUUUUAACAGAAAUGGGCAAGAGGAAUGCUGCAAACAGAAACGUGCACGCUCAAGAGAUUACCAUUUAAUUGGGGGCAUGACUCAUCAAAAAUUGCAAUAAUGUGGAUCUCUUAAAUUUCUUAAUUCGUAAUAUAUUAGCUUUAAAGAAAAGAGAACACUAGGGUACCAUCCCUCAUAAUCUGUGAUGUGUGCAGUCUCUGUAUUUUAAUUGUGCAACUCAAGCAGCCAAAAUGAGUCAUUUCAUUAACUGAAACCAUCAGCAGUCUGCUGCCAGUACUUCUACAGAUCUUAGCAAAUGUGUUUCUUCUCUAUUUAUUGACUUGCAAAGAAGAAACUGAAUUUCCCUGUCUUUUUAAAGCUACCCAGAAAGUGGAUAAACUCUUCAAAGAACCAAAUCAAAUUGAUUUCCUCUUUAAUGCAAAUAUAUUCAAAGGAAAGCAAUUUCAAAUAUAUUCAAAGAACACAUUAUCUGAAUAAUAGCAUCAAACACAACCUUAUUAAAAUUUUGUUAAAUGUUAGUAGCAUAACACUUUUGUUUGUGAUUCAGUAGGAAAAUGCAAUCUGAUAAUGGCACUGGAACUGCAAUACUAAAUGCAAAAUCAUAUUCCAUGAACUAAUGCAAGUAUGCUAGAAUCUGGUAUGCAAAGAGUAAUAACUUACUGCUCCACACGAGAUCCAACUACAUCCUCAGGCAUCAAUCUUAAUGACAGAGGCCUACUAUGAACAACAAAUAUAUUAUCAAGGCAUUCAUUUUUUUUUUUUUUUUUUUUUUUUAAAAUGAGAAAAUUCAUCUGGUUCAGUUUCCGUGCAAAUUAAAAUUUGGACUUAGGUUCAUAAAAGCUUCCUGCCAUCUAGAAUUUUGAAAAAAUUGAGUCAAAAAAGUACAGUGGCCAAGAUAUAAGGGGGAAGUGGAAAAUUAGAUAAAAGCUACUGUCCACAGUUGGGCUGGUUUUUCAGUGCUGCUUCUUGCUAAGGUAUUCAUUCUCUUACAUUACCAAGCAGCAGCCAGUCAGGCCCUGUGACUGUGAAAAUCAGCAGUGUCCUUCAGCAGCACUCCUACCUAGAUAGCAGACUGUCAUUACUCCAAAUAGUGGAGAAGGGAUGUGAGUUUUUAAAGUCUCAAAACGCCUCUCUACGCUCUGUCCAGAGAGGUGAGAAAAUGCAGCCAUAAAAUAACAUUAGAAUGAAGUUUAGGCACUGCAUGGGGAAGUCAUCCAGACGGACAUUCCACCCUGGAUUGAUACUGGAAGCCAUGGAUGUUUGGGGAGAAACUGUGGUGAUGGCAAUACUAACAUUCUUACCAAUAAACAGGACUGACAACAGCCAAUGAUUCUAUAGUAGUUCCUGCUCCCUCUCCGUAUCUGCAGUUUCACUUUCUACGGUUUCAGUUACCCACAGUCAACCACACUCCAAAAAGAUUAAGACAUUUUUGGAGACAAACCACAAUAUAACUUAUACCAUAUUGUUAUAACUGCUGUACUUUACUGUUAGUGUCAACUGAAGGAUGCUGAGGUUCGUAAAGUUGGAGAGAAGAGCUUUAAUUCUCAUAAAGGGUUGCAGUCUGCAGGGCUGCCACUCCAGCAGGCUAGGAAGCACAACCUCAGGCCAGAAGCCAGAAACAGACACUUCAAGGGAGGGGAAAAAGCAGCAGGAGUCUAUGCAGAGUGGGGUGGCCAAAUAUACAGAUUUAAUAAGCUGUAGGAGGAGUCAUGAAUAUUUAUGCAAAGAGAAAGGUGCACAUGCGCAAUUGCACUUCAUGCCUCUCCAUGGGACCCAUGUUCCAAAAUUGGCAGUGUUCGCAUGAUCCAGGGUAGGAGUUUUCGGCCCUGUGACAUAAAAAGGUGACGCAGGGGACAUGAAAACCCUGACCGCACAUCUUCCAUAGACUGGCCACAACUACUCCAUGGUCGGUGGUCUUUUAUCAAGAAGAAUGACCCAUCAGUUGUGCCAAAACUGCAAAAGGAGGGGCAGCAUCAGGUCGUGAUACCAGAGAUGGAAUCUCAUUCUGUCUCCCAGGCUGGAGUGCAGUGUCACCACCUUGGCUCACUACAACCUCUGCCUCCAGAGUUCAAGCAAUCCUCCCACCUCAGUCUCCCAAGUAGCUAGGAUUACAGCUCUUCAGCUUCUGGACUCUUGGACUUCUAUCAGUGGUUUGCCAGGGUCAAGGGCCUUCAGCCACAGACGGAAGGCUGCACUGUUGGCUUCCUGACUUUUGAGGUUUGGGGACUCAGACUGGCUUCCUAGCUCCUCAGCUUGCAGAUGGCCUACUGUCGGGCUUCACCUUGUGAUCAUAUUCUCCUCUUCGUUCAUGGUAUUUCUUCUGAACCAGAAAAAGGCUUUAAUUUUCUGACAGCAACACAGUGCUAAAAGCAGGUGAGGACUUUUUAGGAAGAAAGGCAAUGAUCAAAGCAUGCAGCCAUCACAUACGAGCCAUUCUCUAUCUUUUCCAGUGGAAGACAGUGGGCCAAUGUGAGCAAAAGAGUCGGAGGGCAGAUACUGUGCUGGUGGGUUGACAGCAGGAAAAGCAAUCCAGACAUCUUAAUGGUUGCAGUAAAGUUCCUUGUGUCUGCAUAUUUACAAGUUAUAUAUAUUCAUUCACAGCAAAGAUCCCUCCUUCUUAGAGCACAUGGUAGACUACCUCAUAACACUUUGUCCCUCAUAAAUGAAAUUCUGAUGAAACAGCAUCAGAGAUUUCCUUGGCUGGUGGAAGCGGGUGGAGAGGUGGGCCUUGAUAAGAUGGUGCUUACCAAGCAUUGCAGCCAUUUGGCCCAGAAGCCUGGUGUUAGACUCUUUUCUAGACUCACAUCUUUCAGUUUUCCAGGGCCCCUAUGGAAAUCAUUAAGGCCUGUUAAGUUAUAAAAUUACAAACAUCCAAGGUCUUCAUAGUGGUAACUGAGAUUCUCUUUGUUUGCUUGGUUUCUUACCCCUGUGUUCUGUAUCCUUUCCCUUUAGGAAGAGCCUAUUCCCAUUUUUAAGAGACUUUGGUAUAAGGCUCUGCCUUCCUUUCCUGAGUGCCCAAGAUUCAGGCCAGACACAGUGACUGGUUCAGAAGUUCAGUCAGCAUCCUUUCAGGACAUUCAGACAGAUUCUCACUCCCCUGAGCUAACAAGCCGAGGGGUGAUGGAAACCUAGCCACGCAUGCCCUUGCUUCAGAAAAAACCGCCUCAGGGUGAAGCCAACUCAAAAAAGAUCUAAGAGAUGGGAAACAGUCUUAAUGUUGCCAUCUGAAUCCAUGGAUGCUGAAUUCAGGAUCAGAAUCCUGGAGAUCAUGAAUUCCUAGAGCAUCUCCUUUGGCCUAAUCUGCUUUCAGUUGGUUCCUUCACUUGAAGGUGAACAAGGUCUGGCUAAAUCAGUAGCUAAACCUAUUAUUCGGGGGAAAAGGUAGUUAAGAAAUGAGACUUUGUUUAAAGCCAUGGAGCCAGGGGAGAUUACUAUUACCAAUGAGGAGUCUUGAAUGUCACGAGAGGUGAAGCAAAGACCCUGUGCCAUCUUUGUUGUUUCUUCCCGGUGUUCUGUUGCUGGGCAAUGUGCUCAUUUCAGUUGGUGGCAACAAGGGUAAGGGAGAGACAAGUUAUGAAGAACUGUCCUUGUCCAAAUGGAAAGUACAUAGAGGCUGGGCGCAGUUGCUCACGCCUAUAACCUCAGCACUUUGGGAGACUGAGGCGGUGGAUCACUUGAGGUCAGAAGUUCCAGACCAGCCUGGCCAACAUCGCAAAACCGCAGCUCUACUAAAAAUACAAAACUUAGCCGGCCUGGUGGUUGUUGCCUGUAAUCCCAGCUACUUGGGAGACUGAGGCAGGAAUCGCUUGAACCUGGGAGGCAGAGGUUGCAGUGAGCCAAGAUCAUGCCACUACACUCCAGUCCAGGCUGGGCAACAAAGCGAGACUCCAUUUUAAAAAAAAAAAGUAAAAAUGAGUUAAUCUGGUGAUUUACCUUUGCAGAAAGGAGUUUUAUACAACUUGGAAUAUAUAUAUGUAUUUUGAGAUGGAGUCUCAUUCUGUCACCAGGCUGGAGUGCAGUGGCGCGAUCUCGGCUCACUGCAACCUCCGCCUCCCGGGUUCAAGUGAUUCUCCUGCUUAGGCCUCCCUAAUAGCUGGGACUACAGGCAUGCACCACCACACGCAGCUAAUUUUUGUAUUCUUAGUAGAGAUGAGGUUUCACCAUUUUGGCCACAGGAAUAUAAUUUAAAGUAGCGGUACUAUGGACCAGUUUCAUGAAAGGCAAUUUUUCCAAAGGAGCUGUGGGGUCGGGAAGACGGUUUCAGGAUCCCCACCUGCGCAGUUCAGAGUAGGGCUCACAUCUCUAUGAGAAUCUAACGCUGCCGCUUAUCUGACAGGAGGUGGAGCUCAGGUGGUGAUGCUCACUCCUCCGCCACUCACCUCCUGUGCUGUGACCAGGUUCCUAACAGUCCACAGACUGGAACUGGUCCACAGCCUGGGGUUUCGGAACCCCUGCCUCAAAACAGAUGCUACUCUAAAGUAGCUGUCUUCUUCAUAUUUAACUCAAAGCAUUUCCCCACCUGCUAUCCCAAGCAAGAUGACAGACAACAGAAACCUCAUUCUUGUAGGCUACACUUUAGCCUAAAGUAGAGAGAUACGCGCAGGACAGAGGUAUGUCCACAAGGAGAGCUGACAAAGCUAAUACCCAGAAAGGGACGAGGCAGAUAGGCUAUGAGAAAACUGAACAUGUCAAAAUGGAAAAAAAUAACAGUAGAGAAAAAAAUAAAAAUAUUCAAGGCAGACAAGAAAGACCCUAUAUAUAAUCAUAACUGGCGGUCUUGAGGGAGCUAACCACCGCUGAGAGAGGAACGGGUGACUGCAGGAAUGCUGGGGACACGGGUUUACACGGGUUUACACAGGCCCUGCCUCUCUGGUCCCACCCCCACCCCACCGCAGCUCCCUCCCUUGGACUAAUAACCAGAGCAAGCAUACUUUCAGGGCUGGAGGGGAAUCAGAGGCCAUGGGUUCGCCAAGAUCUGCAGGAGAGAGCGCCAGUACAGGGUUCCUCCCUCUCUGAGAUGCAAGUGAGAGCUUAGCAACUUCAUAUGGAGAAGAGGGCUUGCCCCUUCCUCAGGCCUGGGAAAAGCAAGGACUGUGUGGUACUUGUGGGGUCUGUGGGCAGAAGCCUGUGUCUCCCCUUUGAGAAGGUCCACAGCUGUCCCCUUUCUGAGAAUAGUCCUGUCCCAGGCUGCUGUUCUUCAGGGGAGCCUCACAGGCAGCACAAGUGGUGCCAGGCCUCGAGGUUGGGAGAGCCAGCCGUUUGCCUCCCAUGAGGCCUGGGCUCCGAGAGGCCCUUCAUAGCACUUCAACAGGCACGUAGACAGUGUGCCCUCUGACGCACCGUGGCCAUAAAAGCAAAACCUGCUGGGCCUCUUGCUUCCUGCCAGCCUCAUACUUUUCCAGUGACUCCCAACAACGUGACCCACAUACCCUAUUCCGGUUAUCCCACUGGGUAUCUUUGGCCUCUUUUCUGCAAAUCGGUUGACCGCAGAUGUAUGAGUUCAUUUCUGGAGCCUCAGUUCUGAUCCACUGCUCUAUGUGUGCACUGGUGUCCCGGGGCUGCCAUGGCAGAAGGCCACAGACUGGGCGGCUUCAACAGCAAAGCGAUUCCUCACAGUUCUGGAGGCUCCAAGUCCAAGAGAUCAAGGAGUCGGCAUGUUGCUUCCUGCUGAGGCUUCUCUCCAUGGCCUGCAGAUGACCACGUCCCCACGGUGUUCUCAGCGGGCCCUUCUCUGGGCACAGACAUCCGUCGUACCUCUUCCUCAUUUUACUUGCUGUAAGGACACCAGUCCUAUUGGAUCAGGGCCCCACUAUAAAGGCCUCAUUUUAACUUUUAAAGAACUUGUUUUCACACACAGUUGAUGAGUCUGAGGUUGAGUCUUUUGAAUUCCGGGGAGACACUGCAGCCCAUCACAACAUAGCUCUAUGUGAGCCACUGCUACACUGCAGCGUUCGUUUUGAAAUGAGAACGUGUAAGUCCUCCAGUUUUCUUAUUUUUCAGGAUUACUGUGGCUAUUCUGGGUCCCUUCUGUCUCCCUAUGACUUCUAGAAUCGCCUUGUCAAUUCCUGUUAAAAAUUCAGUUGAGAUUUUCAUAGGGCUUGUUUGGAGUCUUUAGAUCAAUUUGGGUAGCACUGACAUCUUAAAAUUACAUCUACUGAUCCACGUACGUGGGUUGUUAAUGUGGACAAGUAAAUUUAUUACUCCUCGAAAAAAUGAUUUUCACAAACUUUGUAUCAAGAUGAGAACUGAUGUAGUAUCUUUCUACCUGAAGGGAGCAAGAAAGUCAGGUGGUAUGUCCUUUGUACAUGGGCAACCAAUUUCUCACCUAGACUUUCUUUUGCUCACCUGGACCAAAGAAAAGAAAGGUAUUGAAGAAAUGUGAAAAUUGCUUUCCUUAGUAUGUAAAGCUGUUAAAUGAGUAAAGGCUGUGCUCCCCUAGAAUUCUCACAUUUCCAUUUGUAUGUAUCUGCAUUUCCCAGUAACCCACUAAGUUAUGUAUGCACGUGAUCCUGAAGCACCAUGAUUAGAUACAAAGGUCUCCAUCUACCACGUUCCCUUCUGUCAGAUCAUUAAAAGACCUCUCCCUACUCCAGUUCUCUGAAAACGUGUAAAUCAUGCUCAGCACAGUGCAAACUCCACUAGGAGAGGCUGAGCAACUCAUUUACUACACAGUCCCUGGCCCUGAGAGGGAGCCCCAGAAAUCCCAUGUUAAAGGAAACUUCCGUUUUCUCCCCAGCUGCUUUCCUUGAGUCUGCAUGACGCGCCUUGACGGCUAUGUGGAGCUGUCAAAAGCCUUGAACAGGGAAAAUAUCGAAGAAUGGCAUUCCAGGAAAUAAGCUUAAUCUCAGUUGGACAGAAGGAGGUACAAAGAAGGCUUGGGGAAGGAAGAGGCAGGAUAUGGGGAAGACAGAAUGGAUUCUGUAACAUCAGGAAAAAAUAGGAACCUUAUAAAUACCAAGAUGUUACCUGGCAGACACAUGUCAGCACCUGGGUUAUGAAAGACAGACCAGGCCGGGCACAGUGGCUCACACCUGUAAUCCCAGCACUUUGGGAGGCCGAGAUGGGGAGAUCACAAGGUCAGGAUAUUGACACCACCCUGACCAACAAUGGUGAAACCCCAUCUCUACUAAAAAUACACAGAUUAGCUGGGCGUGGUAGUGCGCGCCUGUAGUCCCAGCUACUCAGGAGGCUGAGGCAAGAGAAUCACUCAAAUCCAGGAGGCAGAGGCUGCAGUGAGCCAAGAUCACACCAUGCACUCCAGCCUGAUACAAUGAGGCUCUGGGCUGGGGGACGGGGGGGGCGGGGGACGGGGGGAGAAAGACCAGCUAACUAACGCCCACCCACAGAGGUGAGAGUCACAUUCUUUGAAAAGGAAGAGAGCAGAGAGGGAACCUGCUGCCUGGUGAGAUCUCAGCUGGCCUGGUUGCAGCUUUGCUUCCAGAAGCCAGGGAACCACCAUGGGAAGGGCAAUAAAGCAUGAAAGGGAGAGGAGCUUGGUUUUCUGAUGGUCUGCUGCUCCAGAAGUUGGCAACACCAUCCCUUCCUCUGCCGGGAUAAACUAGGGCAUCCUUUUUGAGAUGCAGUACUUUUUUUUUUUUAAAGACUUUAUUAAUCCCACAUGUUUGAGAAGUGGCUGGGAAAGCAAACAUUAACUAAUUACGUGCUUCCUAGGAUUCAACCAGUCAUUAAAAACAUAUCCGUGAAAUUUUCUUGAGCUGUUCAAUUGUUUAUCAUUAUCCAAGUGGUUCUACUCAUGCAUUUCUUUUCCUUUCACAUUUACCUCUAAGCAAAUUGCCUAAUUCAGCAUGGUUAUUCUUCUGGAAAUUUAAAAGCUGUGUAUUGGGAAAUUUCACACAGUAACGUCAAUACGCUGUUAUGCUUAAUCCUUAGUGCCUAGGUAUGAUUAUUAGAUGUACUUUAUAGAAAUUCUGCUGAACUCAUUGUAAUUUAUUAUCCAUUCACAGUUUUACUUGCGUAGUCUUACUCAAGGGUAUUUUCUAAAUGUAUAAAUAAAUGAUGCAGCCUAUUAGAAUGGAGGUUAAAUAGUAAGUGACUGGCUUAAGAGUGGACAUGUGACCCAGCUCUGGUCAGUGAGUUGCAAGGGGUAUUUUUGGGGGCAUCUAAAAAAUGUUUACUUGCCCUUAAAAAGAAGUUUAUAGGAAAAAAAGCAGGAAAACUUUCCAGUUCUAUCGAACCCCAUACCGGGGAUCUGCACGGACCGCCUCAAGCAGUGGCAACAGUCUCAUGACUGAGUAGAGCUAAGCCACCGCAUCAACACAUUGAAACCGGCAGAGGGGAAAGGGGGAAAGAUUCUGCGUCCCUGACUUUGCUAGGCUACUGAACCAGCUAACCCUGCGGCAGCCCCCCUCUGGACUUGCCAUUUGAUGUAAUAACGUCCUUCAUUGUUUAAGCUUGUGUGAACUGAUUUUAUAUCACUUGCAGCCAAAAGCCACUCCAAAGCUUCCCAGCUGACAUGUGUAGACUAGGAAGUCCCAACAAGAGGAACAGACUUUACCUAGUGAGGCCAUGCCAACCCACUGCACCUGUCUCUGAGAUCUACAGACAUCUGAAUGUGAGCUUGAAAUGCUGCUCAAGUUUGGGUAGACUACAGCUCAAGAAUGGGAGACGACAGGUUGGUAAUCUUCCUAUCUCUCUAGGGCAAAGAGAUAGUGAGAUGUUACCUGGGACCUGAGAAAGGGGGAAGGUCUAUGGUUUGCCCAGAUAGCUAAAGUCUGUAGGUUAGAAAGACAGGAUUUGUUUGGAAGUUAUGAAGAUGUAUCCUGAUAUGUCAUGGACAUCAUGUGAUACGGUUUGGCUGUGUCCCCACCCAAAUCUCAUCUUGACUUGUAGCUCCCAUAAUUCCCAUGUAUUGUGGGAGGGACCCCAUGGGAGAUAAGUGAAUCAUACGGAAGGCUUCCCGCAUACUGUUCUCAUACUAGUGAAUAAGUCUCAGGAGAGCUGAUGAUUUCAUAAGGGAAACCGCUUUCACUUGGUUCUCAUUCUCUCUUGUCUGCUGCCAUGUAAGACAUGCCUUUUGCCUUCUGCCAUGAUUGUGGGGCCUCCCCAGCCACAUGAAACUGAGUCCAUUAAACCUCUUUUUCUUUAUAAAUCACCCAGUCUCAGGUAUGUCUUUAUCAGCAGCACAAAAUCGGACUAAUACCUCAUCCUAACUUGAAUGAUGCCUGUCCUCAGCCAGUGGUCCACUGAGAGUAUCCAUCAAGGAGUUUUCUCCCACUGCACACUGGACCUCAGCCGUUAUCACAAGCUCCCCACCACUCUUCACAUUGUUCCUUGUUUCCAGCAAGUUACCUCUUCUCCACACAUCUCAUGACUUCAGUAUUUUAGAUGCCUGUCACAUUGCCUGUCGCUGAUCCUUGACUCUUGAGACCACACUGCGUGUGACGAUCUUGGUCCUGUUUGCUUGAAGACAGGAAGUUAUAACCCAAGCCUCUAGAGGACUUCAGGCGUACCCGUCUGUUCUUGCUGCCUGGACUCCUGCAGCACACCCAAAUCUGCCCUCUAACCGCUUCUUGGCUACAAAUGGUCUCAAUAUGGUGAUGGCCAGGGGACAGAUGAGCUUUGAAAGCCUCAGACCAACCAGCCAGAUGUUCUCUUGCCUCCAGUGGUCACUGUUGAUGCCUGGUAUCAGGGUGUGUCCAGAGGUUGACACACUGUUGGUCCCCGUGGCCUAUGACAGAGGCCCGUACUCAGCACAGGGAGUACAGACCAAAGACCAGAGUCCAGCAAGAAUCUAUGGACCAAAGGUUAGGCAGUCUGGAGACGGGUAUCUCUGGCAGACCCCACAGUGAGGAGCAGCUAUCCCAGGCCAGAGUAGGGUCCACUGGCUGAUCUGGGGGCUCUGGAGCAGAUCAGAGGGAGCAUGUCUUGUCCACUUGAAAGGGAAGUUGCAAGGUGGUACUGAGGAUAAUUCGGCUCCACUUGACUCUCAGAAGAUUAUCCCCACCCUCACCAUGAGGAGAAGAGACAUUGCAGUAUGCCAGUGCAACCGUGGACAGAAAACAAUCCCACCCUAUCUGCCUCUAUCUCGCCCUUUUUUUUUUUGAGACAGAGUCUUGCUCUGUCAUCCAGGCUAGAGUAGAAUGGUGUAAGCAUAGCUCCCUAUAACCUCAAGCUUCUGGGCUCAAGCGCUUCUCCUGCCUCAGCCUCUCCAGUAGCUGGGAUUACAGGCACGAGCCAUCAUGCCUUGCCCCAUCUCUAUCAAUCCACCACGGCCUGGUGUGGGUGGGGGCAGAGAGGGUUAUCAUAGCCUGCUAUCAUAGCCCGCAGCUGGGCCCAAACCAGCACCGGGGAAACUCUGCACCCGCCACAAUGAUGCAGCACAGCAAACUCAUGUGCCACCUAAGAGGGACAGUGGUUUGAAGGAAGGAGACAGCCAAAUUCUCGAACAGAUGGCUACUAUGGAGCAGAACUAAUGAUAGAAGUUGAAAUAGACUAUAUAAUACAAAUAAUGAGAACACAUGAGGAGAUAUUAGUAGAGCACAGAAAAACGCUGCCUGAACAGAAAAAUGCUUGAUUUUUUUGUUUUGUUGUUCCCAGAUCCUAAGAGAAACUCCAAAUGCUUGACUUUUUCAUUUACAAAUUUAGUAGAGGUACUGUAUAAGAGAACAGCCCCACUGAAACCCAAGUUACUAUGUUAGGAAGAUGAAAUGAAAGGUGUAUCUCACAACACAGAUAAAACGUUAAUGAACCAAGAAUCACGAGUUCAUCAGGAAGACAUGGAGGGUGGAUGCAGGAGGCGGCAUCCUAGAUAAAUAAUAGGAGUUGGGGGAGAAAACGAAAGUAUGACAGAGAAUAAACAAAGAAAUGCCAAAGAAACAAAACCAACCAAGUCUUAAGAUUGAAAGCGUUCUGAAAACGCUGCAUUCAGACACAUCCUCGCAAAGUUUCUGAAUUUCCAGAAUAGAGAGAAAAAUCAUAAAACCUUCCAGACAGGAAGAACAAGUUGCUUUUAGAAAUAACCAGUCUAGGGGUCAGGGAUGAUGGCUCACGCCUGUAAUCUCAGCACCGGGAGGCUGAGGCGGGCAGAUCACUUGAGGUCAGGAGUUCGAGACCAGCCUGGCCAAUAUGGUGAAACCCCAUCUCUACUAAAAAUACAAAAAUUAGCUGGGUGUGGUGGUGCGUGCCUAUAAUCCAAGCUACUCAGAAGGCUGAGGCAGGAGAAUUGCUUGCACCCAGGAGGCAGAGAUUGCAAUGAGUCGAGAUUUUGCCAUUGCACUCCAGCCUAGGUGACAGAGAAAGACUGUCUCAAAAGAAGGAAGGAAGGAAAGG